rnacentral:rRNA from 1 species
UAGGGAAUCUUCGGCAAUGGACGAAAGUCUGACCGAGCAACGCCGCGUGAGUGAAGAAGGUUUUCGGAUCGUAAAACUCUGUUGGUAGAGAAGAACGUUGGUGAGAGUGGAAAGCUCAUCAAGUGACGGUAACUACCCAGAAAGGGACGGCUAACUACGUGCCAGCAGCCGCGGUAAUACGUAGGUCCCGAGCGUUGUCCGGAUUUAUUGGGCGUAAAGCGAGCGCAGGUGGUUUAUUAAGUCUGGUGUAAAAGGCAGUGGCUCAACCAUUGUAUGCAUUGGAAACUGGUAGACUUGAGUGCAGGAGAGGAGAGUGGAAUUCCAUGUGUAGCGGUGAAAUGCGUAGAUAUAUGGAGGAACACCGGUGGCGAAAGCGGCUCUCUGGCCUGUAACUGACACUGAGGCUCGAAAGCGUGGGGAGCAAACAGGAUUAGAUAGCCCUGG